rnacentral:rRNA from 1 species
GACGAACGCUGGCGGCGUGCUUAACACAUGCAAGUCGAACGGAAAGGCCCUGCUUUUGUGGGGUGCUCGAGUGGCGAACGGGUGAGUAACACGUGAGUAACCUGCCCUUGACUUUGGGAUAACUUCAGGAAACUGGGGCUAAUACAGGAUAGGAGCUCCUGCUGCAUGGUGGGGGUUGGAAAGUUUCGGCGGUUGGGGAUGGACUCGCGGCUUAUCAGCUUGUUGGUGGGGUAGUGGCUUACCAAGGCUUUGACGGGUAGCCGGCCUGAGAGGGUGACCGGCCACAUUGGGACUGAGAUACGGCCCAGACUGCUACGGGAGGCAGCAGUGGGGAAUAUUGCACAAUGGGCGGAAGCCUGAUGCAGCAACGCCGCGUGCGGGAUGACGGCCUUCGGGUUGUAAACCGCUUUCGCCUGUGACGAAGCGUGAGUGACGGUAAUGGGUAAAGAAGCACCGGCUAACUACGUG